rnacentral:rRNA from 1 species
UACGUAGGGUGCGAGCGUUGUCCGGAAUUAUUGGGCGUAAAGAGCUCGUAGGCGGUUUGUCGCGUCGGCCGUGAAAACUUGGGGCUUAACUCCAAGCUUGCGGUCGAUACGGGCAGACUUGAGUUCGGCAGGGGAGACUGGAAUUCCUGGUGUAGCGGUGAAAUGCGCAGAUAUCAGGAGGAACACCGGUGGCGAAGGCGGGUCUCUGGGCCGAUAUUGACGCUGAGGAGCGAAAGCGUGGGGAGCGAACAGG